UACGGAGGAUGCAAGCGUUAUCCGGAAUGAUUGGGCGUAAAGCGUCCGCAGGUGGCUGUGUAAGUCUGCUGUUAAAGAGUCUAGCUCAACUAGAUAAAAGCAGUGGAAACUACACGGCUAGAGUACGUUCGGGGCAGAGGGAAUUCCUGGUGUAGCGGUGAAAUGCGUAGAGAUCAGGAAGAACACCAGUGGCGAAGGCGCUCUGCUAGGCCGUAACUGACACUGAGGGACGAAAGCUAGGGGAGCGAACAGG
rnacentral:rRNA from 1 species